CCUACGGGAGGCAGCAGUGGGGAAUAUUGGGCAAUGGAGGAAACUCUGACCCAGCGACGCCGCGUGCGGGAUGAAGGCCUUCGGGUUGUAAACCGCUUUCAGCAGGGAAGAAGCGAAAGUGACGGUACCUGCAGAAGAAGCACCGGCUAACUAUGUGCCAGCAGCCGCGGUAAUACAUAGGGUGCAAGCGUUGUCCGGAAUUAUUGGGCGUAAAGAGCUCGUAGGUGGUUCGUCACGUCGGAUGUGAAAAUCUGGGGCUUAACCCCAGACCUGCAUUCGAUACGGGCGAGCUUGAGUAUGGUAGGGGAGUCUGGAAUUCCUGGUGUAGCGGUGGAAUGCGCAGAUAUCAGGAGGAACACCAAUGGCGAAGGCAGGACUCUGGGCCAUUACUGACACUGAGGAGCGAAAGCGUGGGGAGCGAACAGGAUUAGAUACCCUGGUAGUCCACGCCGUAAACGGUGGGCACUAGUUGUGGGGACCUUCCACGGUCUCUGCGACGCAGCUAACGCAUUAAGCGCCCCGCCUGGGGAGUACGAUCGCAAGNUAAAACUCAAAGGAAUUGACGG
rnacentral:rRNA from 1 species